UACAGAGGGUGCAAGCGUUAAUCGGAAUUACUGGGCGUAAAGCGUGCGUAGACGGUUAUGUAAGUCGGGUGUGAAAGCCCCGGGCUCAACCUGGGAAUUGCAUUCGAGACUGCAUAGCUAGGGUGCGGAAGAGGGAAGCGGAAUUUCCGGUGUAGCGGUGAAAUGCGUAGAUAUCGGAAGGAACACCCGUAGCGAAGGCGGCACUCUGGGCCGGUACUGACGCUGAGGAGCGAAAGCGUGGGGAGCAAACAGG
rnacentral:rRNA from 1 species